rnacentral:rRNA from 1 species
CGCACUAGUCUCGUUUCUGGGGUUGCUACUCUAAGGCUACCUGCUAAAGUAUUGCUUAAAGCAGGGUUUAGGGACCUCCCAAAAGGGGCCAGUGCGGAGCACUGGCCAGUGGCGAACGGGUGAGUAACACGUGAGCAACCUGCCCUUGACUCUGGGAUAACAGUUGGAAACAGCUGCUAAUACCGGAUACGACCUUGAUCGGCAUCGAUCGAGGUGGAAAGUUCCGGCGGUCAAGGAUGGGCUCGCGGCCUAUCAGCUUGUUGGUGAGGUAACGGCUCACCAAGGCUUCGACGGGUAGCCGGCCUGAGAGGGCGACCGGCCACACUGGGACUGAGAUACGGCCCAGACUCCUACGGGAGGCAGCAGUGGGGAAUAUUGCGCAAUGGGCGAAAGCCUGACGCAGCAACGCCGCGUGCGGGAUGACGGCCUUCGGGUUGUAAACCGCUUUCAGCAGGGACGAAGCAACACGUGACGGUACCUGCAGAAGAAGCACCGGCCAACUACGUG